UACGUAGGGGGCAAGCGUUGUCCGGAAUCAUUGGGCGUAAAGAGCGUGUAGGCGGCCCGGUAAGUCCGCUGUGAAAGUCCAGGGCUCAACCCUGGGAUGCCGGUGGAUACUGUCGGGCUCGAGUCCGGAAGAGGCGAGUGGAAUUCCUGGUGUAGCGGUGAAAUGCGCAGAUAAUCAGGAGGAACACCGGUGGCGAAGGCGGGUCUCGUGGGCAGUGAA
rnacentral:rRNA from 1 species